rnacentral:rRNA from 1 species
GACGAACGCUGGCGGCGUGCUUAACACAUGCAAGUCGAACGGAAAGGCCCUUUCGGGGGUACUCGAGUGGCGAACGGGUGAGUAACACGUGGGUGAUCUGCCCUGCACUUCGGGAUAAGCUUGGGAAACUGGGUCUAAUACCGGAUAGGACUACGGACUGCAUGGUCUGUGGUGGAAAGCUUUUGCGGUGUGGGAUGGGCCCGCGGCCUAUCAGCUUGUUGGUGGGGUGAUGGCCUACCAAGGCGACGACGGGUAGCCGGCCUGAGAGGGUGUCCGGCCACACUGGGACUGAGAUACGGCCCAGACUCCUACGGGAGGCAGCAGUGGGAAUAUUGCACAAUGGGCGCAAGCCUGAUGCAGCGACGCCGCGUGGGGA